UCCCUGUUCGUCUAACGGUUAGGAUAGGGCACUUUCAGUCAGACUGAUUCUACAAUCAGGAUCUGCUCAGGUCGGGGUUCGAUUCCCCGGCAGGGAA
rnacentral:tRNA from 1 species